UCACUUCAGUAACAAUGGGCUAGGCCCAGCUGUUUUCUCACCCCUGUUCACUUGGGAAAGAUUCGCAGCUUUCAUCACAGACAAGGAGGAUCUAAAAGUUGAGACAGAAUGGAUAAGCAGGCUGCUUUAGCAGGACGAAAAAUGGACCCUAACAGCCUCGUCACACACCCAACCUAGGAGCCGGAAGCAGGGAGGAGGACCAACAGAUGAACGGAUGACCUGCUUGCUGGGCUUCCCAUUACCGAUUCUUGAGCAAAGGAGCACUGACAGGCAUAGAGCUGGCUGGAUGAAGAGGCUGCUUCCAGUCGGUGAGGGCGAGAGGAUGUAGCUCCAAUUUGAAACCAUCGCAUCAAGACAAAACCGAGGAACCGGAAGCAGGGAGGAGGACCGACAGAUGAACUGACGAUCCUGCUUGCUGGGCUUCCCAUUACUGAUUCCCGAGAUCCUCCAAGCUUUCAUCAACGCAGCGCUCAGCAUAUACAGAGAUGGCUAGCUACCUUCCCACUCAUCCCCUCAAGAA